AACGAACGCUGGCGGCAGGCCUAACACAUGCAAGUCGAGCGCUUCACUUCGGUGAGGAGCGGCGGACGGGUUAGUAACGCGUGGGAAUAUACCCUUCUCUACGGAAUAGCCUCGGGAAACUGAGAGUAAUACCGUAUAAGCCCUUCGGGGGAAAGAUUUAUCGGUGAAGGAUUAGCCCGCGUUAGAUUAGAUAGUUGGUGGGGUAAUGGCCUACCAAGUCUACGAUCUAUAGCUGGUUUGAGAGGAUGAUCAGCAACACUGGGACUGAGACACGGCCCAGACUCCUACGGGAGGCAGCAGUGGGGAAUCUUAGACAAUGGGCGCAAGCCUGAUCUAGCCAUGCCGCGUGAGUGACGAAGGUCUUAGGAUCGUAAAGCUCUUUCGCCAGAGAUGAUAAUGACAGUAUCUGGUAAAGAAACCCCGGCUAACUCCGUGCCAGCAGCCGCGGUAAUACGGAGGGGGUUAGCGUUGUUCGGAAUUACUGGGCGUAAAGCGUACGUAGGCGGAUUGGAAAGUAGGGGGUGAAAUCCCAGGGCUCAACCCUGGAACUGCCUCCUAAACUAUCAGUCUAGAGUUCGAGAGAGGUGAGUGGAAUUCCAAGUGUAGAGGUGAAAUUCGUAGAUAUUUGGAGGAACACCAGUGGCGAAGGCGGCUCACUGGCUCGAUACUGACGCUGA
rnacentral:rRNA from 1 species